rnacentral:rRNA from 1 species
GUGCCAGCCGCUGCGGUAAUACGUAGGGCGCAAGCGUUAUCCGGAAUUAUUGGGCGUAAAGAGCUCGUAGGCGGUCUGUCGCGUCUGCUGUGAAAACCCGAGGCUCAACCUCGGGCCUGCAGUGGGUACGGGCAGACUAGAGUGCGGUAGGGGAGAUUGGAAUUCCUGGUGUAGCGGUGGAAUGCGCAGAUAUCAGGAGGAACACCGAUGGCGAAGGCAGAUCUCUGGGCCGUAACUGACGCUGAGGAGCGAAAGGGUGGGAGCAAACGAGGCUUAGAUACCCUGGUAGUCCACCCGUAAACGUUGGGAACUAGUUGUGGGUCCAUUCCACGGAUUCCGUGACGCAGCUAACGCAUUAGUCCCG